AUUGAACGCUGGCGGCAUGCCUUACACAUGCAAGUCGAACGGCAGCACGGGAGCAAUCCUGGUGGCGAGUGGCGAACGGGUGAGUAAUAUAUCGGAACGUGCCCAGUCGUGGGGGAUAACGUAGCGAAAGCUACGCUAAUACCGCAUACGAUCUAUGGAUGAAAGCGGGGGAUCGCAAGACCCCGCGCGAUUGGAGCGGCCGAUACCAGAUUAGGUAGUUGGUGAGGUAAAGGCUCACCAAGCCGACGAUCUGUAGCUGGUCUGAGAGGACGACCAGCCACACUGGGACUGAGACACGGCCCAGACUCCUACGGGAGGCAGCAGUGGGGAAUUUUGGACAAUGGGCGCAAGCCUGAUCCAGCAAUGCUGCGUGCAGGAUGAAGGCCUUCGGGUUGUAAACUGCUUUUGUACGGAGCGAAAAGGCUUCCACUAAUACUGGGGGCUCAUGACGGUACCGUAAGAAUAAGCACCGGCUAACUACGUGCCAGCAGCCGCGGUAACAC
rnacentral:rRNA from 1 species